rnacentral:rRNA from 1 species
AAUGAACGCUGGCGGCGUGCUUAACACAUGCAAGUCGGACGAGAAAGGGGACUUCGGUUCCCGAGUAAAGUGGCGCACGGGUGAGUAACGCGUAGGUAACCUACCCCGGAUUUGGGAUAACAGUGGCGAAAGCGCUGCUAAUACCGGAUACGACCUUGGAGGCGGGAGGCUUUGAGGUGAAAGUCGGCCACUCGAAGAAGCUGAUGUUCGGGGAUGGGCCUGCGUCCUAAUCAGCUAGUUGGUAGGGUAACGGCCUACCAAGGCGACGACGGGUAGCUGGUCUGAGAGGAUGAGUCAGCCACACUGGCACUGGAACACGGGCCAGACUCCUACGGGAGGCUG